CCAUGUUGGACGGGACCAUCUGCUACUUUACAUGGGGUAGUUUCGUUCCCAAACAGUUUGUGGACUGAACAGAGCAGGGGCGGUGAUUGGAGCUGAGCACGCACUUAUCACGGGAGCGCUAUCGUAAUCCCUAGUGGACACAUUUAUACCCGGUGAGCUCCUCUAGACGCGCGGGGCGGCAUCGGGGCGUGGGCGCUCCCCCCAUCCCUGCGAGUGCCCCACCGCUCGCACAUGGCCCGGCGGUAGGCGCGCGGUGCGGCCUGGGAGAGUCGGAAGCGCGGCGAGCCCGGGCGAGGCGGCACCGGAGGGCCAUGCAGGACGCGGAGAACGUGGCGGCGCCCGAGGCGUCCGAGCAGCGGGCCGAGCCCGGACAGCAAGAGCCGACCGCAGAGGCGCCUCCGAGGGAGGAGCCAGCGCGACCAGCCGCACUGGAGGGUGCGGGCGGCGAGGACCCGGAGGCCGGGCCGGGGCCUGAUGUGCCGGCCGAGCCUUUGGCCGACGGGGAGCAAAAGACGGACGCGACCCCCGGCGCCUCCCCGCCGCCUUCCGAGGAGCCCCCAACCCUGGCCGCAGGCGAGACGGGGCAGGCGCGGGACGCGGCGGCCGAGGCCGGCUCCGAGGGGGCGGGUGGGGAGCCCGGCGGCGCGGCGGAGGACGGUGGCGCGGACGAGCCCUCCUUCAGCGACCCCGAGGACUUCGUGGACGACGUGAGCGAGGAAGAGUUACUGGGAGACGUACUCAAAGAUCGGCCGCAGGAAGCAGACGGGAUUGAUUCGGUCAUCGUGGUGGACAACGUCCCGCAGGUGGGACCUGACCGUCUGGAGAAACUCAAAAACGUCAUCCAUAAGAUCUUCUCCAAGUUUGGGAAAAUCACGAACGACUUUUAUCCGGAGGAGGACGGAAGGACCAAAGGGUACAUUUUCCUAGAAUAUGCGGCUCCUGCCCACGCUUUGGAUGCCGUGAAAAAUGCCGACGGGUACAAGCUCGACAAGCAGCAUACAUUCAGAGUCAACCUCUUCACAGAUUUUGACAAAUACAUGACCAUCAGCGACGAAUGGGACAUUCCGGAGAAGCAGCCUUUCAAAGACCUGGGGAACUUACGUUACUGGCUCGAGGAGGCGGAGUGCCGAGAUCAGUACAGCGUGAUUUUUGAGAGUGGAGACCGCACGUCCAUAUUCUGGAACGACGUCAAGGACCCCGUGUCCAUUGAAGAGAGAGCGCGGUGGACAGAGACCUACGUGCGUUGGUCCCCUAAGGGCACCUACCUGGCGACCUUUCAUCAGCGAGGCAUUGCUCUCUGGGGAGGAGAGAAAUUCAAACAGAUCCAGAGAUUCAGCCACCAAGGGGUCCAGCUCAUCGACUUCUCGCCGUGUGAAAGGUACCUGGUGACUUUCAGCCCCCUGAUGGACACUCAGGACGACCCUCAGGCCAUCAUCAUCUGGGACAUCCUCACCGGGCAGAAGAAGAGAGGGUUUCACUGCGAGAGCUCAGCCCACUGGCCGAUUUUUAAGUGGAGCCACGAUGGUAAAUUCUUCGCCAGAAUGACACUCGACACGCUCAGUAUCUACGAGACGCCCUCUAUGGGUCUUCUGGACAAGAAGAGCUUGAAGAUCUCUGGCAUAAAAGACUUUUCGUGGUCCCCCGGGGGUAACAUCAUCGCCUUCUGGGUGCCUGAAGACAAGGAUAUCCCGGCCCGGGUGACCCUGAUGCAGCUCCCUAGCAGGCAGGAGAUCCGCGUGCGCAACCUCUUCAACGUGGUGGACUGCAAGCUGCACUGGCAGAAGAACGGCGAUUACCUGUGCGUCAAGGUCGACCGGACGCCCAAAGGCACCCAGGGUGUUGUCACAAAUUUUGAAAUUUUCCGAAUGCGGGAAAAACAGGUGCCUGUGGAUGUGGUCGAAAUGAAAGAAACCAUCAUAGCCUUUGCCUGGGAGCCGAACGGGAGUAAGUUUGCUGUGCUGCACGGGGAGGCUCCUCGGAUAUCCGUGUCCUUCUACCACGUGAAGAACAACGGCAAGAUCGAGCUCAUCAAGAUGUUCGAUAAGCAGCAGGCCAACACCAUCUUCUGGAGCCCGCAGGGACAGUUCGUCGUGCUGGCUGGACUGAGGAGCAUGAACGGCGCCUUGGCGUUCGUCGACACUUCAGACUGUACGGUCAUGAAUAUCGCAGAGCACUACAUGGCCUCCGACGUGGAGUGGGACCCUACGGGGCGUUACGUCGUCACCUCUGUGUCCUGGUGGAGCCACAAGGUGGACAAUGCUUACUGGCUGUGGACCUUCCAAGGCCGCCUCCUGCAGAAGAACAGCAAGGACCGCUUUUGCCAGCUGCUGUGGCGGCCUCGGCCCCCCACGCUCCUGAGCCAGGAUCAGAUCAAGCAAAUUAAAAAGGAUCUGAAGAAAUACUCCAAGAUCUUUGAACAGAAGGACCGUCUGAGCCAAUCCAAAGCCUCAAAGGAGUUAGUGGAGAGAAGAAGAACCAUGAUGGAAGAUUUCCGGAAAUAUCGGAAAAAGGCUCAAGAACUCUACAUGGAGCAGAAAAACGAGCGUCUAGAAUUGCGAGGAGGUGUGGACACGGACGAGCUGGACAGCAAUGUGGACGACUGGGAGGAGGAGACCAUAGAGUUUUUCGUCACAGAAGAAAUUAUUCCUCUUGGCAAUCAGGAGUGACCCGCGAGCACUGUGCGUCACCGCCCGCGUCUUGUGCUGGAACCACGGUCACCCGUCUGCGGACAGCCUGCACGUUCCCGGAUCCUCACCUGUGCUUCUCUCGCUCUGGACCGCGGCCGCGCCCGGACCGCGCCCCCGCCGCCCACGGCCGUGCCUUUCAGCCCCUGGUGUCCCGUUGGGUGUGUGAGGCGCUGCUCUCGGUUUUCUCUCGUUCGGGUUUUCACCGCACCGCAGACUGUGUCCUCUUCCCGCGGGCAGCGCCGUCCACACUGUGCGGGUUCCCUCCAGGACGCCCUGGUGCGCGGCCGCUGCGGGGUGUCCCAGACGCCAGCAGGGACUCAGUGCAGCACUGCGGCCCCGCACACUUGGGGUGCCGGCGUGUCCCCCACCAUUCAGGUUGUGACAGGUUCUUUCAGCAGGGUGAACGUGGAAAUAAAAGCAAACCUGUAUGAAAAAGCUGUCUUCUCCUCUUUGAAUGUAGAUCGCGGCCUUGAACUCGGGGCUUCUCCCCUCUGCCCCAGCAGCCGCUGCCGGGCACAUUAGGCCCGGUGCUGCCCGCACAGGUGGCGAGGAGGGGACGUUGGCCCCCCUCAGGGCCCCCCGGUUUCCGCGGAGCUCUGGAAGGUAGUUCGUCUGUUUCCUGCACUUGGCAGUUCACCUGAUGAGAAAGAACCUUUUAGCCUUAGAUACCUUGGUUUGAAGACUUACGCUGACAGUUGUCGCUCUAGCCACCCAUCUGUGCUCCUGCCUGAGUGCCUCACUGCCCCGAGUGGGCAUGGGCAGGCCUGCGAGGCUGCAGCCCGGCCCCCACGCUGUCCUGCUGCCCUCGGCGCCUGGGCAAUAAACAGCAGCUGCUCCACCUCGCUCUCCGGGAACCUGAAGCCUGGCUGGAAGCAGUGACGCGUCGAACGGGCGCACCUGGAAGUCACGGGUGUGACUGUGACCUGCACCACGCACGGACCUCGGGCGACGUUCCCGGCUGGAGGCCACGCUGCCACGUGGGGGGCAGAAGACGGCCACCCCCGCCCUGCAGCCCUGCUGGGCGGAAUGGAGCCCUCAGCCCAGAGGAUCCCCGGGGACCGCAGCCUGUCCUCGCCACGGCCGGCCGGGCCUCCCUCGUGGGCCAGGCGCUGCUUGCUCCCAGUUUCUCAGGAGCCUGGAAUGUUCACUGUGCCUCACAGCCCUGCCGUGUGGCGCCCGCACACCCCGUCCGAAUCACAGAAACUCUGUUCCUUCUCGUGUCCUUUAAACUUGAGUGUGCCAGGACCUAGAUUUUCUAAUUCCAGGGCAGCAAGAAGGAAAAGGCACACGGUUCUGUCACAUCAACAGGUUUUUAAAAGAGCUUUCAAAACAGCAACUUUCACUGUCUUGAGCUGGCUGGUUGUAACUUCACAGAGGGCGUAAAAUAAAGGGAUUUCUGAAGCA